rnacentral:rRNA from 1 species
UACAGAGGGUGCAAACGUUGCUCGGAAUCAUUGGGCGUAAAGCGCACGUAGGCGGUCCAGCAAGCGGGGAGUGAAAGCCCUCGGCUUAACCGAGGAAGUGCUUUCCGAACUACUGGACUUGAGUACUGAAGAGGGUCGCGGAAUUCCCGGUGUAGAGGUGAAAUUCGUAGAUAUCGUAAGGAAGACCAGUGGCGAAGGCGGGUCUCUGGACAGUUCCUGACGCUGAGGCACGAAGGUCAGGGGAGCAAACGGG